rnacentral:rRNA from 1 species
UGGGCACUACUAAAGGGACUGCCGGUGUUAAACCGGAGGAAGGUGGGGAUGACGUCAAGUCCUCAUGGCCUUUAUGACCAGGGCUACACACGUACUACAAUGGCCGAUACAAAGGGCAGCGACACUGCGAGGUGAAGCCAAUACCCGUAAAAUCGGUCUCAGUCCGGAUUGGAGUCUGCAACUCGACUCCAUGAAGUUGGAAUCGCUAGUAAUCGUGGAUCAGCAUGCCACGGUGAAUACGUUCCCGGGCCUU